rnacentral:lncRNA from 1 species
GAUUUGAUUUAGGUCAUACCUGAGUGGUCUAAUGGUUUUCCCUACUUUCUCCCAAUGUAUGGCACAGAGUCAGCAUUCAGUGAUAUCACUAUCCUCAAGCCGCAGGGCAGAGCUCGGGGAGAGGGACGGGCGGGAGGAGGGCUGACAGAUCAUCCAUUGUCAACUGCCGUGGUCGGCUGCCAGAGUCACAGGUGAGCCGAGGACUGCAAUCUUCCCUGGGGCAUGGAAGGAGCACAGAACAGGAGGUCCAGGUGCAUCUGGUUCCUCCAAGUCAGGUGUGGGACACACUUUCUUGCUGUAAAAUGAAGCAGUGGUCUCAGAGUUCUAAUGUUUUGGCAUUCCCCCAGCCAGGUGCAGGGCGUGCCCGUGCCCCGAUUCCUACAUCCUGCCCACCACGGUCUCCACAGUCAAAUGAGGUAGGCUCUUCCUGGUUUAUUAAGCAACCAGAGCAACACAGACUAGAAUGCCUCAACUGCUACGAUAUAACAGAAGAAAUGGGGUUUUCUUUCUUCUUGCUCAAUGACCAUGAUAAAGAUCAACUCGACCUCUGCUACUUUAUACAUCAACGUCUCACCAAAACAUCUCAGGGAAUUAUUCUAGUAGGUUCUACAUUCAGCGCUGCUGGGAAGUGCUCUGGGGACGGCCGCUUACGUCUCUGUUGUCAGUUUCCCAGUUUCUUCGCAGUUGUAUUUCUAGUGUGUAAUUACAUCUGGUACAUAGCAGGUGCUCAGUAA